GCUAGCCAAAUCGUAUGUUGAGAAGUAUGAAGGACGGCUGUCUCGUAGCCAUGGUUACCAAGAGGCUGGAGCCAAAUUUUGGAGAAUGUUUAAACGCGAAGCAACGAAUUUUUUCGCCCUCUUUAUUCCAUGGGAAAUGCGGAUAAAAAGGACAGAGAGUCACUUCGGAUCCGUUGUGGCGUCUUACUUCAUAUUCAUGCGCUGGAUAUUUGGCGUCAACCUCAUUCUAUC